rfam:Streptomyces katrae strain NRRL ISP-5550 contig13.4, whole genome shotgun sequence.
CUUCAGCGAGCCCAGCCACAGCGGGCUGCCGGGCUCGCGCCCCUGCCCGUAGGCGGCGAUCAGGGCCUCCGCCUC